rnacentral:rRNA from 1 species
GUCUUUCGAACGUAGCGAAAGUGUUAAGUGCUCCCGCCUGGGGAGUAUGGUCGCAAGGCUGAAACUCAAAGGAAUUGACGGGGGCUCACACAAGCGGUGGAGGAUGUGGCUUAAUUCGAGGCUACGCGAAGAACCUUAUCCUAGUCUUGACAUGCUUAAGAACCUGACUGAAAGGUUGGGGUGCCCGCAAGGGAGCUUUUGCACAGGUGCUGCAUGGCUGUCGUCGGCUCGUGUCGUGAGAUGUCGGGUUAAGUCCCUUAACGAGCGAAACCCCUGUCUCUAGUUGCCAGCGCGUUAUGGCGGGGACUCUAGAGAGACUGCCGGUGUUAAACCGGAGGAAGGUGGGGAUGACGUCAAGUCCUCAUGGCCUUUAUGACUAGGGCUGCACACGUCCUACAAUGCAACAUACAAAGGGAACCAAAGUCGUGAGACCAAGGAAAUCUCAAAAAGUGUUGCUCAGUUCGGAUUGCAGGCUGCAACUCGCCUGCUAUGAAGCUGGAAUCGCUAGUAAUCGCGGGUCAG